UACGUAGGGUGCGAGCGUUAAUCGGAAUUACUGGGCGUAAAGCGUGCGCAGGCGGUUUUGUAAGCCAGAUGUGAAAGCCCCGGGCUCAACCUGGGAAUGGCAUUUGGGACUGCAAGGCUUGAGUGCGGCAGAGGAGACUGGAAUUCCUGGUGUAGCAGUGAAAUGCGUAGAUAUCAGGAGGAAUACCGAUGGCGAAGGCGGCUCUCUGGACGGUGACUGACGCUGAGACGCGAAAGCGUGGGGAGCAAACAGG
rnacentral:rRNA from 1 species